rnacentral:misc_RNA from 1 species
CUAGUUAAGAUUUGAAGAGCUAUCAAAUUUGCUUUUAUAAUGCCAAUUGAGAUAGCCUUGUAACUUCCCUUCAAAAUUGCAACUUUGAACUCCCUUUUUUCCACUUAGCCUGAGAAAAGGACGGAUGUGAACUCUUAAGUUGAUGAUGUUUGCUGUUACAUAUAUUUGAGAGUGCAAAUUGUUUAGGUUCAAUCAUAUGAAUUGGAAAAGGAAAAAAGAGGUAAAAGACUCGAAUUAAAAGUAUGGCUUUCUUCAAAUCUUGGUUUGUUUGCAUCAUCAUCUACAGUAGGGUAGUUCCUCAACCAUAUGUCUUGUCUUUAGCUGAUCCCACAAAUGGUUCCUACAAUAUGAGCGGGAGUCUCAAUUGAUCUAUCAUAACAGAACUUUAGAUUUCAUUGACCGACCUGUUCUAAAUAGAAUUUGACUUAAUGUUCAUUAAAACUACUGAGCUUUUGUUGGGCCAGGAUUUACCAAUCCUGAUAUCAUGGUGAAUUUCAACUUACAGUGUACACUCGUAAAACCAUAUAGCGAGUUGGAUGAGGACCAAACUAAGAGUUGGGAAUAAUCUCAUACUAUUAUGGUCUAUAAGUACAGGGUGCGGUGCUUUUUAUAAGAAAGUACAAGUUAAAAAACUAUCAAUUUGCCUUUUCUGUUUCUAAAUCUUUUCUUGAUAAUUUGCUGUUGUGUUGAUUUUCUCUAAUUGGUGGCAAAAGCAUAAAGCUCUCCCUUCUUUGCAUAUUCAUUCCAUUUAUCAUGUAUAAAUUUUGUCCUGAUUUGUAUUUGAUAGGUGCUUAGCAAGCUGAAAAUGGAAAGCAAAUAAUUUCUAAACAGCAAUACUUAGGCACCAAUGAUGUUAUAUGUUGCAUAGGCUUGGCAAUCCAGCCAAUGGACCUUAACAUUGGAAAGUCUGAAACUUUGAAUCAUUAAAGUUGGAUGCUGGAAUGUGAUUGUCGUAGGCUGCUGUUUUCACUUCAGAAGUUCUUUAAAAAUUUGUGGGGAUUUAUGGAAUUCAAAAACCUAAAGUAUUGUUAUUAGUGCUAUUUAACUAAUUUUAAGAUGAUUUAAUUCAGGUUUGGCUUCCCAUGAUUGAUACAUGUCCUUUUUUUUCAACAAGAAAGAGAUUGUUAUGUUACGAAGCAGCUCAAAUGAUACAUAAAAACAGACUGACUAGGAAGACGACACAAUAUAUAUGCAGAUGUUGAUAUGGUUUGCAUGUGCAUGUUCAUGUGUGAAAUUAUUUCCCUUCUUUAGAUAGAUCUGCCUUCAUUUGGUUGAGGAUCAGAAAUUCAGGGUGUGU